rnacentral:rRNA from 1 species
AUACGGGGGGGGCAAGCGUUGUUCGGAAUUACUGGGCGUAAAGGGCGUGUAGGCGGCCCUGCAAGUCUUUCGUGAAAUCCCACAGCUCAACUGUGGAACUGCGAGGGAAACUGCAGGACUUGAGUCCGGGAGAGGAGAGUGGAAUUCCCAGUGUAGCGGUGAAAUGCGUAGAUAUUGGGAGGAACACCGGUGGCGAAGGCGGCUCUCUGGACCGGAACUGACGCUGAGGCGCGAAAGCUAGGGGAGCAAACGGGAUUAGAAACCCCAGUAGUCC